GUGUCAGCAGCCGCGGUAAUACGGAGGUUCCAAGCGUUGUUCGGAAUUACUGGGCGUAAAGGGGGCGCAGGCGGAUUGGUCAGUGGAAAGUGGAAGCCCGGGGCUCAACCUCGGAUGUGCUUUCCAUACUGCCAAUCUUGAGUUCGUGAGAGGAGAGCGGAAUUCAGGGUGUAGCGGUGAAAUGCUUAGAUAUCCUGAGGAACACCGGUGGCGAAAGCGGCUCUCUGGCACGAAACUGACGCUGAGGCCCGAAAGCGUGGGGAGCGAACGGGAUUAGAUACCCCCGUAGUCC
rnacentral:rRNA from 1 species